rnacentral:lncRNA from 1 species
AACAAAUGAAUUAGUUUUAUUUUAUUUUAUUUUGUAAAAAAGGGGAAAUAAAACUGGGAGUGGUUAGCAUGAAGUUAAUUUUGGUCAAUUCACCAAUACAGUGUCUACACGCAGGCCGGGAGGUGAUCUCUCUCCUUGCGUGUUAGCACUGUAUUGGUCAAUUGACCAACUUACGAUGAAGUUAACUUCAUGGUAACCGGAUCCAAUAAAACUAGUAAACGAAAAGAUGGACAAAGAAUAUACCUUAUCUUCAAUGAAUUUGGCCCAGAAGCGGGCAGUGGCCCUUUGGUGAGGAUCUUUAGGCAGAAGGGGUGUGCCUGAUUUCCAGGUCUCAUCAAUGUACUCAAGUAUGACAAGAGAUUCGGCUAUCGGGUUCCCAUUGUGCAAGAGUAUAGGAACUUUUUUAUGAACAGGGUUGUACUUGAGAAGGGAAGGACUCUUGUUUUUGAGAUCUUCUUCUAUGUAUUCAUAUUCCACCCCUUUCAUUUUAGUGCAAUUUCCACUCUUUUGCUAAAUGGGCUUUGCCAUAUUCCAAACACCUUCACUUCUUGACCGGCCAUUGUUAAACUUGAUGGUUCCUGAAACUAAGAGACACUAUAUAUAAUGUAAAUGUGCUCGGCAAUUUUAAUGUUGGUUUGUUUUACUUUCUUAGCUUCUUAGACUUCUUUUUAUACACGUCUCCUUGACUUUACCGACAAGUUACAAAAUAGUAAGUCAUGAGGAACAAACAGGAUGGUUCUAGAUUAAUCUUUUCUUUUGGACAUGGAGAUCUAGUUGUUUCUUUACAUUAAUAUACUAUUUUCUUAUAGAACUGACAUGUAGGAUGACCUCACCCACCUUACUAAGAAUUAGUUUUUUUUUUCCUUUCAAUUUUAUAAUGUGAAAUCAGUUUUUGUGCUUGUCUUGACUUCAUCCUUGGAUUCUCUCUACUUUAAUAGUCUUUGCAUUCAUAUUGCAGAUGCACAUGUUAAAUUGGUUGCUAAUCUUGUUGCAUGCCAUGUUCUUAAUUGUUUUUCCGAUAGAGAAUGAAAGUUUGAAGAUUUGUUUGAAUUUUAAAUAGCACAUGUGAUGCCGUGGAAGAGUUCAAUUUGGAAGUGAAUUAGGUGUUCGGGUGGUAUAAUUUCAAAUUGACAUAACUUCUCAUCUGUUUAGAGUUACAUGCCUAUAAUAUAUCAAAUCGAAGCACGACAAACUCUACAAGACUCGUUGCUUUCGACCAUGACAAAUGGGUUUUUUAAGCUAGAAACUUGUUUUAAGCUGUUUUAUCGUUGGUCAAAGUUCGGUAAACUUGAUUUUUUUUUUAAUUUUUGUUAUUUUAAUUCUCCUAAUCAUAAAUGAUGUUGGAAAGUUGUUUAGAACUACAAGUACUCAUAUUAGGGCUUAUUAACAAUUAUAUUUUAUCAAUUAAUAUUAUUAUCUUUGUUUUUAUCAUGAGUUCAUUAUGUUCAUUGUGGAUUCAAAGGUUUAUCUUACGUUUUUGUUGGUAUAUUUAAACUUUCAAAUCAUAUUUGUGUUAGAGCGUUACAAUAUAAUCAUAUUCCACUGCGUCAAUAUAGUCAAUACGACUAUAUGAGCAAUAAAAAAUGUGAUCGAUUAACAUUUGUCUAUUUAUCGAUUGUUUUCUAUUACAUUUGGAUUGAAAGAAUAGAAUUGAAGGAAUGAAAUAGAAAAGGAAAUAAAAUAGAGAGUGGAAUGAUAAAUGAUUUAUUUCAUUUCAACUAGAAUGAGUCAUUCCAUAUCCUCCCCCAAUGAAAUAAAAUUUACAAAUUUAACAGGAAUGAGAAUGAUUCAUUCUAUUCUAAUGGAUCAAUCAACACAUUUUUUUUUUCAAUUCAUAAAAAUGAGUCAUUAUAUUCCCACAUUCGCUCAUCCAAUUCAAACGUAGUUAGAUCUAUCCUUUAAAUUAUCACCAUCUGGUUACUUUCAACCUAUUAAUGAUUUUAUAUUUAUUCUUGAAGCCAAAAUAAUCAUUCGAUUAGGUCGAACCAUUUACGAAUCGGUUCGGUUCGAUUUGAUUUCGAGUUUGAUGUCUUGUCGAGUCGAGUUAGCACAUGGUUGCAUGUUCGAUUGCAAACAUUUUUGCGAACCAUGUGGUUUGGUUCGUCUGUGUUCGCGAACAACUCAGUUCGAGUAGUUCGAUUUUUAAAAUGGGUUCGAGUGGUUCGAUUUCUUACCUGUAGAAUUUAUUAAUCGAUUUGGAAGUUGAAAAUAUAAUCAGCCGACGUGGUUCGUCAAAAUGUUCUUCGACUGAAGUAGAAUUACGAUCCAUCCCAUAUCAAUUCAUUUGGCCUAAUAAGCACGUUGGACCACUUAUUUACCUAAAAGGUUAACCUAUUAGGUUGAGGUUCUACCAUACUUAUCACAUGUGCAUCGCACAUUUUUGUAAACCGACUCAAUAAGCAUGUUGGACUACCUCCUUACCUAAAAGGUUAACUUAUUAAGUUGAGGCUCCACCAUACUUACUAACCCAUCUACACUCUUGAAUUUAUCCAAUGUGAGAUUCAUUUAAAAUAUGAUCCGUUCGGUUCGUUUGCAAGCCUACAUUCGAUAGUGCAGGACGUGUAAAAAAAGUAUGGCUGAAGCUAUUCAAAGAAGCCAACACAAGCGAGCAUUUAUUGUCUGCCAUUAUUCAACAAUGUAAAGCACUAGUUCAAAAUACUAGAAACCGGAAACUUUAGCAUGUGAGAAGUGCUAAAAACCUUGCGAAUUGUGGAUAACACCAGGUUGAUUUAAGGUCCUUAUUUAAGCCCCCUCUUUAUUUUUCCUUCUGUGAAAUGAGGAUUCUGAUUGUAAUGUACAAGUUUGCUUUGGCACCCUUUCCACCCGAAGAAAGAAAAACGAAAAUGUCUUUCUAAAUUUUUUUAAGUAGCUGUUUGUUAUGGAUGCUGAUGCAUGAACAACAAGAAUCUUGGUGAAACUUCUGUGGUGCUUAGAAGGACUAAUUGACGGCCGGGGAAAAAAUCAUGAAUAUUUUGAAUCUAUUUUAACGUCAACUCGAGUUUAAUAGGUUCAAGCCAGUGGAAACUUUGAAUCGGAAUAUGUCCACAAACUCUUGGUUCAGGUAAAAAACUACUAAUGGAAACUCAUUUUAUUAGGAAAUAUGAAAAUGGAAUUACUUCAACACAUUGUUGAACAACAGACUACUAGUACAGGGUAAAUAUAUCGGUUUCCCCUUCACUGAUCAGACAAAUAAAAGUCAAAACUUCAGAAAAGAGACACAAGACUCUGGCAUGAAAACAUUAGAAACUAUCAAUGUAGUAAUCAUUUGGUUGGUUUGAAAAAAGAUCGCAGGCGAGCAGAUAAUUCAGCUCUAGGAGGCAAACUUUGCUUGAUAAUGGUGGAGUUAAGGUACUCAUCAGCCCAUUCACUUAAUCUGGGAAGCUUCUCUCUUGUCAGCACUUGUAUUCCCAUUAUCUCUUGAUAAAUUCCAAGCCAAAGGCCUAAAACAUUAGCAGCAAUAUCAACCACUCCAAUACUCUCUCCACCAAAAAACUUUUUCCCUUCCAGUUCUUUUUCAAGUAUUUUCAGCAGCUCAAUAGCAUCUUCAAUGGCCUUCUCUUGCUCCUCGCCUUGGCAUCGCGUAAUAUUAUAUAUCGCGGGCAAGCACUAAACCCAAAUUAAACAAGGAAUUAGUUUAAUUUCCACGAAACAAUUAAUAAACUUUGGAUAAUAAAUCAUGCAUGAAAUAGUAUUAUACCUUGUCAUCCACGAAUUUUGCCCAGAAACGUGCCAUGGAUUUUCCAUAAGAAUCUGUAGGCAAAAUGGGUGUAAUAACCCAUAUUUUUUUAUUAAUAAUUAAAUAUUAAUCGAUUUCAUCUUAUACAAUUGUAUUUAAAUUGGAAAAGGUAAAUGAUUUUGUUUCCCUCUUUUCUUCCUUGUUUUGUUUGGAAAAAUUAAAUUCUUUUAGUAGAUAAUUAAAUAACUGAUUAAAUUAAAUUGAGAAAGAUAAUUCCUUUUGUUAAAGUCUUGUGGUAAAAUCAUUCGGAGCGGGAAGCUACUUGAGAGAUAGAAGAGUCUAUUCGAGCGGAGUAUCCACAUCUAUUGAUAAUUAGGUACGUUCAUUCUUUUAAUUCCGAGGACGGAAUUAUUUUAAUGUAAUACGCGAAAAAAAAAUAUAUUAAAUAAUAAAAAUUAAUUUUAUUUUAAAACAUAUUAAUUGGACUUUGUCAUUUAUUUGGGUCAAAUUAGUUAUUUAAUUUAUGUGGGCUAAUAAAUAUUAAUAAAUGAUGGAUAAAUCAAAUUGGUAAAAUUGGGCUUUAAAACUAAGUGAGUCCUAAUUUAUAGUUGUGUAAUUUUAAAAUCCUAUUAAUAGUUGGAGAGUUAAUAAAUAUAUUAACUAAUAAAAUUUAUUUUUAAGUGAAUAAAUAAGUAAAACCUAAAUUUACCCAUAAUAAGUAUGACGCGAAGGAAAAAAAANNNNNNNNNNNNNNNNNNNNNNNNNNNNNNNNNNNNNNNNNNNNNNNNNNNNNNNNNNNNNNNNNNNNNNNNNNNNNNNNNNNNNNNNNNNNNNNNNNNNNNNNNNNNNNNNNNNNNNNNNNNNNNNNNNNNNNNNNNNNNNNNNNNNNNNNNNNNNNNNNNNNNNNNNNNNNNNNNNNNNNNNNNNNNNNNNNNNNNNNNNNNNNNNNNNNNNNNNNNNNNNNNNNNNNNNNNNNNNNNNNNNNNNNNNNNNNNNNNNNNNNNNNNNNNNNNNNNNNNNNNNNNNNNNNNNNNNNNNNNNNNNNNNNNNNNNNNNNNNNNNNNNNNNNNNNNNNNNNNNNNNNNNNNNNNNNNNNNNNNNNNNNNNNNNNNNNNNNNNNNNNNNNNNNNNNNNNNNNNNNNNNNNNNNNNNNNNNNNNNNNNNNNNNNNNNNNNNNNNNNNNNNNNNNNNNNNNNGAGUUGAUACAUAUGACUCGUAUUUGUACUCUUUGAAUUAGGUUAUCAUGUUUAGUACUAUUUAUUUUUGAUAAUUGUAGAGCGGUACAUGUUGCUACCUUCUUUUUGAGACCUUGUGACUAUAAUCUGAUUUGGUUCAACAUGUACAUAUAGAAACCUUUUGUUGGUAUUUUGUCGCAUGUGUUGUGACAUGAUAUUUUUGUUAGAAUAUAUACGUAGGGUAUACCUGAGCUAUAACCACCUAUGGGGGUACCAAAGGCAUAUCGUCUUGGCACGAGAGGCAUGACACUUUCUGUGGCAGUGUGAUUAGUCCAAGGCGUCUCUAUUUUGGGCUCCGGAGGAAGCGAGCCAUUUGGUGUUUUGUUGUGGGAGGCGUAUGGGUUAACCCUAGUUUUCUGUUCUGCGGAUUGGUGAUGUUGUGCCAAACACACUAUCCGAUUUGCAUACAUUUGGAUUCGCGGUCCAAUGUGUGAUUUGCUUGUGUGGCAUUAUUUUGGUUGCCUGUGUGGCAUUAUUUGAUUUGCCUGUGUGGCAUUGUUUUGGUUGCCUGUGUGGCAUCAUUCGAUUUGCCUGUGUGGCAUUAGUUUGACUUGCAUGUGUGGCAAGAUAUAUUUUUGAGCUCAUUCGGUAUGAAAUAACUCCAGCCAUUUGUUUCAGCCUAUUAUUUUAUUGGAUUAGUUUUGUUGGUUUCUGUUCAGUUCAAGUCAUUGAGUUAGUUACUUCAGUUCGUUAUUUCUUUAUUCUCUUAUUGGUUUCGUCAAUUAUGUUAAUUCAGAUAUAUUCAUUACGUUCAUUCAGAUAUAUUCCAUUCGGAUCAUUGGACAUUAUUCGUUCGUACGUAUUUGCACUUGAGGCUUUGUUCAGUAUUUUGUCUCAUCUAUUUUCGUAUAUCAGUUGUAUAUCUUUUGUAUAUCUGUAUUCGUACUGGGCAAUUGGCUCAUGCUGUAUUUUUCUUCUGGCAGGUUUGCAGGGGUGAUUCAGGGCUAGUGUGAUGAGAGUUUUGCCUUCGACCAGUUAGGUUGAUUCAAAUUUUAAGUUUUGAUUAUUUUGACUCAGUUUAGAGAAUUGUACUUAUUACUUUAUUGAUGGAUCACCACUAUUAAUAUUUUGAGGUUGUUAGUUCUCUGCUUAUUUAUUUUGAGGUUUGUUGUAUUUUGCACGUGACCUCCCUAUCCUUUUCGGUAAGGGGGUGUUACAGAGAUGGUAUCAGAGCUUAGGUUCUUUCUUGUAGAAAACCUAUUUAGGUUUGACCUGUGAGUUGUGGGUAAAGCACUUGGUAGACGUAGGAGUUUGAUUCAAUUUUGUUCUCUGUUUGGUUUGUCUUGAUUUUGAUGUAGUGUCAUGCUCUUUUAGUUGUAGUUGAUCUGAGAAAGGUGAGAUAAUUUGUUAAGAUUAUUAUGGUUAUGCGUUGGAGCAAUAAUAUUAGUUAAAGAUUAUGAUUGGAUCAUUAAGGAGAAUAAAGUUAUACCUUGUACAGUUAAUAAAUGAUCAUAUAUGAGAUGCAACUAUGAUGUGAUUAUUCUUAUCAACGAGAAUUUGGUUUUGGAGAAUUUUUUUUUAUAGUGCUUUUGGGUAAUAAUCUAUUAUGAUCUUAGAAUUAAGGAUUUGAUUUGGGUGAUGAUUUAGUUUUGUUAAGUUGUGGAUAAUUUGAGGUAUGUGUAUUGAUGAGAUAAUAUGAUAAAUGAUUAUGCAAUUAUGAUAUGAGCAUUUGUAUCAGUAAGUUUUGAUAUUGGAGAAAUAUUUGUUAAGAGUUAUUUCAGGUAAUUACAAAUUAUUAUGAUUUUGGAAUUGAGGAUUUUAUUUGGGUUAGAUUCUGAUUUUUGUUAAGUUGUGAAUAAUUUGAGGUAUGUGAAUCAGUGGGAUAAUAUGAUAAAGUGAAAACUAUUAAGUACAGAGGAUCCCUUAUUAUUUUGAGUUGUUGUAAAGAUUCGAGGUAAUUAGAUUAAUCUUUUGGAGUAAAUGAAUUUUGCAAUUAUUUCCUAGUAGAAUAUUGGAGUUAUCUUAUAUGAAAUUUUGAGUGAUAGUAUGAGGAGAUUUUGGAAUUUGUUGGGUUAAGGUUUGCACUAAGAGAAUGAUUGAUUUAUUAAAUGAUUAGAUAUUAAGUGAUGAAUCUUUAAGAGAUUUUGAAAGCUAUCGUUUGUUUAUUCAGAUAGUAGGAUAUAUGAUUUGGAGUUUGGUAUGGUGAUGGAGAGAUCUUAGUAGUAGUAUAUUUUUGGUGUAAUAAUAUUUGAGAACUAAUUUGAUUGGAGGUUAUGAUAUUUUGAAACUCUUAAGGACUUAGGAAAGUUGGUGAUAAAGAGAUAUUAGUAGUAUAUUCUUUGGUGUAAUAUUAUUUGGUGAAUAGUUCAAAUUAAGGAUGAGAUAUUUUGAAGCUCUUGAGGACUUGGGGAGAGUUGGUAAUAUGGUUUGCAUAGUUGUUUUGGUUAUCUGAUGUCUUUAGAGUUUUGCGUGAAUUUAUGUAAAAUUAAAUAAAAAUAAUUUGUUAGAUCUUUGUCAUGUGUGGAAUAUAAACAUUUUAACGAGUUAAAAAUAAUUUUAAAUAUUUUGGUUAUUUGAAUCGUAUUUAGAUGAAGAAAAAUGUUUGUGAUUUCGAAUUAUGUUCCGAAGAGUACGUACGCUUGCAAGAAUGAAACUCAAAGAUAUUAACGGGGGGCCCGCACCAACAGUGGAUCAUGUGAUUUAACGCGAAGAACCUUACCAAGACUUGACACGGUAGCUGACGAAUCUUUUACAAGUACAUUGAUAAUUACGUGGACCGAUGACUUAUCCACGUUGAUCGUUACAAAUGGCGACGCUACGUCGUAACUAAAUUUAUUUAUUUUUUCUGUAGCUUAUUUGAAUUCCGAGGACGGAAUUAUUUUUAAGGGGUGAAAAAUGUAAUAACCUUUUUUUUUAUAUAAUUAAAUAUUAAUUAAUUUUAUCUUAUACAAUUGUGUUUAAAUGGGAAAAGGUAAAUGAUUUUGUUUCCUUCUUUUCUUCCUUGUUUUGUUUGGAAAAUUAAAUUCUUUUAGUAGAUAAUUAAAUAACUGAUUAAAUUAAAAUUUGAGGAAGAUAAUUCCUUUUGUUAAAGUCUUGUGGUAAAAUUAUUCGGAGCGGGAAGCUACUUGGGAGAUAGAGGAGUCUAUUCGAGCGGAGUAUCUGCAUCUUUUUGAUAAUUAGGUAUUUUUCAUUCUUUUGAUUCCGGGGACGGAAUCCUUUUUAAGGGGGAGGUAAUGUAAUAUCCCGAAAAAAAUAAUAAAAUAAUAUUAAAUUUAUAUUCUUAAAACAUAUUGUUUGGAACUUGUCAUUUAUUUGGGUCAAACUAGUUAUUUAAAUUAUGUGGGCUAAUAAAUAUUAAUAAGUGAUAGAUAAUAUUAUGUGGUUAAAAUUUGGGCCUUAAUAUUAAUUUAACCCAAAUAGAAGUUUAUUAGGGCAAACCUAAUUAAUAAAUAGCUAAACCUAAUAUUACUUCAUUAUACAAACUGAAUAAGAAGAGGUGGCUACUUUGGAGAUAAAGGGAACAGCUACAAAGGGGGCUCAGGUGAAGAAAGACUAGAGAUUUUGAUCACUAGUGGGGAAAUUUCAUCAGUAAUAAGUAAGUAUAUUAUACAUUAUAUAAAGUGGGGAUAAAUCACGUGGUUCCAUAUUAAAUUAUUAAAUUUAGUAUGUUUUUUUUUUCAUCAUGAGCAAGUACUUUUGUAAUUCAAGAACUAAGAGCGAUCUUUAAAGAUGGGAGAGUUUAUUUAUUAAUGUAAUACUUAUACGGAUGUACUUAUUAUUAUUAUCACUUUAUUCCAAUCAGAUUGAACGGAGGGAGUAGUCUGUGAUUGAUUUUGGAGAUCCUAAAAUAAUAAAUUGAUGAUUUUUUUAAAUAAAAAUAUAUAUAUAGCAGUAGUAAUUAAAGUUUACGAAAACUUGCAUAAUUUGCAAGAGAUGUUAUACAAAUAAAUAUGUAAGAUUAUAUGGAAUGAAUUAAAUCUUAAUAUUAUAAGUAAUUAUAUUUUAUAGUCGUACCAAAUAGAAGUGUUCAUAUUUUUAUAAAUGUACUUACAUUUAGUAUUAUUAAUUUGUGUAAUUAGUUCGGACGGAAGGAACUUAAAGAGUUAUAUUUGGAAUAUAAAUUUUGGAGUAUUAAUAAUUGAUAUAAGGCGAUGAUUAAAGGCAUAUUAAAUAGAUUAUGAAUUAUUUUGGAAUUAUUGAAUUGGAUUAUAUUUAAUUUGAGGUGAAUAUGUUUAGGUGAUGAAUAACGUUUCGUAUUUGAUAUCGUUGGCAUUUGAGGGUAAGAUUUUGUGGAGUGUGCUAUAAAUGGUUUGGAAGUAUCAGGUACGGAUUCCGUACUCUUUCAGCGAUACUCUUGUUAAAUUUGAUUUGUUCGUUUGUUUCCUUAUUUCGAAUUAUGUUAUGAUUUCACAUAAUUGUUUCAUGUGAAAUAAAUAUAUUAGUUUCAUUUUGGAGUUGAUACACAUGACUCGUAUUUGUACUCUUUGAAUUAGGAUAUCAUGUUUAGUAUUUAUUUUUGAUAAUUGUAGAGCGGUACAUGUUGCUACCUUCUUUUUGAGACCUUGUGACUAUAAUUUGAUUUGGUUCAACAUGUACAUAUAGAACCCUUUUGUUGGUAUUUUGUCGCAUGUGUUGUGACAUGAUAUUUUUGUUAGAAUAUACCGUAGGGUAUACCUGAGCUAUAACCACCUGUGGGGGUACCACAGGCAUGUCGUCUUGGCACGAGAGACAUGACACUUUCCGUGGCGGUGUGAUUAGUCCACGGCGUCUCCGUUUUGGGCUCCGGAGGAAGUGGGCCAUUUGGUGUUUUGUUGUGGGAGGCGUAUGGGUUAACCCUAGUUUUCUGUUCUGCGGAUUUGUGAUGUUGUGCCAAACACACCUAUCCGAUUUGCAUACAUUUGGAUUCGCGGUCCAAUGUGUGAUUUGCCUGUGUGGCAUUAUUUUGGUUGCGUGUGUGGCAUCGUUUGAUUUGCCUGUGUGGCAUUAUUUUGACUUGCCUGUGUGGCAUUGUUUUGAUGUGCCUGUGUGGCAUUAUUUUGGUUGCCUAUGUGGCAUCAUUUGAUUUGCCUGUGUGGCAUUAUUUUGACUUGCCUGUGUGGCAUUGUUUUGAUGUGCCUGUGUGGCAUUAUUUUGGUUGCCUAUGUGGCAUCAUUUGAUUUGCCUGUGUGGCAUUAUUUUGACUUGCCUGUGUGGCAUUGUUUUGAUGUGCCUGUGUGGCAUUAUUUUGGUUGCCUAUGUGGCAUCAUUUGAUUUGCCUGUGUGGCAUUAUUUUGACUUGCCUGUGUGGCAUUGUUUUGAUGUGCCUGUGUGGCAUUAUUUUGGUUGCCUAUGUGGCAUCAUUUGAUUUGCCUGUGUGGCAUUAUUUUGACUUGCCUGUGUGGCAAGGUAUAUUUCUGAGCUCAUUCGGUAUGAAAUAACUCCAGCCAUUUGUUUCAGCCUAUUAUUUUAUUGGAUUAGUUUUGUUGGUUUUUGUUCAGUUCAAGUCAUUGAGUUAGUUACUUCAGUUCGUUAUUUCUUUAUUCUCUUAUUGGUUUCGUCAAUUAUGUUAAUUCAUAUAUAUUCCAUUCAGAUCCUUGGAUAUUACAUUUUCGUUCGUACGUAUUUGCACUUGAGGCUUGUUCAGUAUUUUGUCUCAACUAUUUUCGUAUAUCAGUUGUAUAUCUUUUGUAUAUCUGUAUCCGUACUGGGCAAUUGGCUCAUGCUGUGUUUUUCUUCCGGCAGGUUUGUAGGGGUGAUUCAGGGCUAGUGUGAUGAGAGUUUUGCCUUCGACCAGUUAGGUUGAUUCAAAUUUUAAGUUUUGAUUAUUUUGACUCAGUUUAGAGAAUUGUACUUAUUACUUUAUUGAUGGAUCACCACUAUAUUUUGAGGUUGUUAGUGCUCUGCUUAUUUAUUUUGAGGUUUGUUGUGUUUUGCACGUGACCUCCCUUUCCUUUUCGGUAAGGGGGUGUUACAAUGGGUGUGCCAGAUUUCCAGGUCUCGUCAAUGUACUCAACAAUGACAAGAGACUCAGCAAUUGGUCUUCCAUUGUGCAAGAGCACAGGGACCUUCUUAUGAACAGGGUUGUUUUUAAGGAGCAGAGGGCUCUUGUUGGACAGAUCUUGUGUAACAAAUUCAUAUUUUACUCCCUUUAAUUUCAGAGCAAUUUCUACUCUUCGGCUAUAUGGACUUCCCCAAGCACCCAGCAACUUAACUGUUUGAUUGGCCAUUGUUACCCCUUGUGGUUCCUUAAACAAAUAGAAACUUUGUAUCUAAUUAGUUAUCUACGAGGCUCUGUAAUUUUGAUCUUCUUUGAGUUCGUUCUUAUACAAAUUUCGAAUUAGCCAACGAGUACAAUUCUGCCAACUGUUUUCCAUUGACUCCUACAAGUCAAAAGUAAAUGGUUGGUUCUAGAUGAUUCAUUUUAGGCAAAUGGAAAAACUGACCUAUUUGACGACCUCAGGUCCAUACCCACCCACCUAACAUAGAUAUUAUAUUAUCUUUUCUUUCAUUACAUUGUAACAUGUUUCACACUAACACUUGCUAUAUUUAAUUACUUGAAAAUAUGCACUUGUAUCCCCAUUACCUCUUCAACUUUGGGGGUAGGGCCGAAUAGAAAAACUUACACAAUACAGAUGAACAUGCGCGGAAAGGGUGGCGGAACGUAAGGAGAUCUUUGACGUGAAGCUUUUGAUGACUUUAUUGUUAGAUAGACAAAAUAUUAAUCUUAUAGGUUGGUCAUCAUCUUUACUUCUAGUUCUUUCGACUUUGUCUUUUUCUAUCAAAUUGAAUUAGUGAUUUUUGAUUAGAGAACUAAAUAGUUGAAUCAUCAUAAAUUCUAAACCACAUUUCGCAUUAGAUAACUGAUAUUUCCACAAUAUUUUUUGAUAUUUUUACAGCAAAUGUAUCGCUAUAGAGGUAUAACGUCGCUAUAGGAUUUAUAGCGACGAUUUUGUUAUGAAAAUAUCAUUUUCUGUUGUUGAAAUAUCUGUUUCCUUCGCACGAAACUGUUAAUCUAUUUAUAAUAGAUAUUCUAGGUUAUCUAUAUGGUGGCCGAUGAGGUGUUGAAUCUAGUGGUUAAAACUGAGAUACUGAGACAAUGGUCUUUAAGUUCGAUUCUCAUCUUAAGCUAGUUUAUGUCUUCCAAAGUUCAAUUCUCACUUGAGUAAGUUUAUGUCUUCCAUUAUGGUUUCCACUUUAUGUGAGGCUUGUUUGUGAGUUUAUUUCUUUCUCCUUCAGUGAGAUUUGAUUGGUUCUUGUUAUGAGAAGUUUGUUUCCUCUUUUAUGUGAGACUUGUCUAUGAGUUUAUUUAUUCCUUCUUCAAUGAGAUUUGAUUGGUUUAAUGAUGAUGUCUUGGUUAUGAAAUAUGUUGUGUUCUGGGGCUUUCAAAAAGAAAAAAAAGGAGACUUAUAUGGUGGUCACAUGUAUAUAAAAUAGAUUAUAUUUUACUUAAAACUGAUUAGUAUAUGUUUUAUUCCAUAUUUCCAAGCACAAAAUAUAGUACUAGGAUUUAUUGCUAUCAGGAAUGGGUUUGAAUCAGCAGCAGAAGCGAGACCAUUAUUUGGCUUGCUUAUAAUGAAUGCUGAUGCAUGAACAAUCAAAAGCCUGGUGAAACUUAUGUGGUGCUUUAAAGGACUGAUUUCCCAUGGAAUAAAAACUCUUAAAUCUUUGCUUAUUUAAUUAGUCCAUUUUAAAGUCAAGUUCAAUUUGAAUUUGAAUAUGUUCAAGCUAAUGGAAACUUUGAAUUGGAAUAUGUUGACAUACUAUUGGUUCAAGUCAAAAACUACUAAAGGAAAAUGAUUUUAUUAGGAAGCAUGAAAAUGGAACAAGUUCAACACAUUGUUGAACACAGACUACUACAUAGUACAUACAUCAGUUUUCCCUCAACUGAUCAAACAAAAACAAAAAGUGAACUUCCCAAACAAGCCCAAUUAACAUUAGACAUCAUUAAAAAAAAACAGCAAAGGAUAGUUUGUGAUUAGAUGAUUUGCCAUAGAAAACUUUCCAUGAUCUUUGUGCAGCAUAUGGUACACAACACUCUCAGUGUAGUAAUAUCAUUUUGUUGGUUUGAAAUAAGAGCGUAGCCGUGCGGAUAGUUCAUCUCUAGGAGGCAAGCUUUGCUUGAUAAUGGUGGAGUUAAGGUAUUCAUUAGCCCAUUCACUUAAUCUGGGAAGCUUCUCACUUGUCAGCACUUGUAUCCCCAACAUCUCUUGAUAAAUUCCGAGCCAAAGACCUAUAAAAUUAGCAGAAAUAUCAGCCAGUCCAAUAGUCUCUCCACCAAAGAACUUCUUCCCCUGGAGUUCAUUAUCAAGUAUUUUUAGGAGCUCAACAGCUUCUUCAAUGGCCUUCUCUUGUUCCUCGCCUUGGCAUCGCCUAAUCUUAUAUAUCGCAGGCAAGCACUACACGCAAAUUAAAGAAUCAAUUAGUUUUAUUACCAAGAAAUGGUACAGGAACAGGACAAAAUAUGCAAGACAACUAGAAUAAGCUUAAAUAAUAAAUAGAUUUGCUCUGUUCUAUAGUAUUAUACCUUAUCAUCAAUGAAUUUUGCCCAGAACCGCGCCAUGGCUUUGCCGUAAGGAUCUGCAGGCAAAAUGGGUGUGCCGGAUUUCCAGGUCUCAUCAAUGUACUCAACAAUGACAAGAGACUCGGCAAUUGGUUUGCCAUUGUGCAAGAGCACAGGGACCUUCUUAUGAACAGGGUUGUAUUUGAC